rnacentral:tRNA from 3 species
GGGUUCGUAGUCUAGCCAGGUAGGACGAUGGUCUCCAAAACCAUCGGUCGUCGGUUCAAAUCCGUCCGAGCCCA